rnacentral:rRNA from 1 species
AGAGUUUGAUCCUGGCUCAGAACGAACGCUGGCGGAGUAACACAUGCAAGUCGAACGCACCUUCGGGUGAGUGGCAGACGGGGAGUAACGCGUGGGAACGUGCCCUUCCGGAAUAACCCAGGGAAACUUGGGCUAAUACCGGAUACGUGCGAGAGCAGAAAGAUUUAUCGCUGAAGGAUCGGCCCGCGUCUGAUUAGCUAGUUGGGGGGUAAUGGCCCACCAAGGCGACGAUCAGUAGCUGGUCUGAGAGGAUGAUCAGCCACAUUGGGACUGAGACACGGCCCAAACUCCUACGGGAGGCAGCAGUGGGGAAUAUUGGACAAUGGGCGCAAGCCUGAUCCAGCCAUGCCGCGUGAGUGAUGAAGGCCUUAGGGUUGUAAAGCUCUUUCGGCGGGGACGAUAAUGACGGUACCCGCAGAAGAAGCCCCGGCUAACUUCGUGCCAGCAGCCGCAGUAAUACGAAGGGGGCUAGCGUUGUUCGGAAUCACUGGGCGUAAAGGGCGCGUAGGCGGCUUGAUAAGUCGGGGGUGAAAGCCUGUGGCUCAACCACAGAAUUGCCUUCGAUACUGUCUGGCUUGAGCCGGAAGAGGUAAGUGGAACUGCGAGUGUAGAGGUGAAAUUCGUAGAUAUUCGCAAGAACACCAGUGGCGAAGGCGGCUUACUGGUCCGGUUCUGNNGCUGANNNNNGAAAGCGUGGGGAGCAAACAGGAUUAGAUACCCUAGUAGUCC